AAAAAAGUUGGAUGUCCCUCUUUUAAUUAAGUGCCCUUGUCAUGGGCCUAUUUGCCAUUACCGCAUUUGUUAAUGGAUUUUAGUUUCUCUGUGGACGACAAAGAUUUGGCAUCAAUCGGCUGCGAUAAACUUAAGUCUUCACAGAACGUAAAAGAACCUCCAGAAUGAUGACGAUUUGAUCUCACAUUCUCCUCUUUCUUAUGCAUGGUACAAUUGCAACAUCGUUUGAUCCAAUUCCAUUUAUUGCGUUCUCUUCGUUUCCUUCGGCCAACAUAAUUCGUGAGUAUUGAACAAAUAAUUGCAAUAUGCCUAUGUUUUGUGUGUUUUUUUCUUACAUUUUCACUCUAGUGUUCUAAUUUAUUUACGAUUUACGAUUCAUUAAAUUAAUCAAUGGUGUGUUUAUUGUUAGUAGGAAAUCUGUACAUACAGCCAAAUUUGUGUAUGAUCAAACAACAGUGAUUAAGAACGUCUCCGGAAAUAAUUUUCUAGAGGGUUUAAUAAGAGGUUAUUGACGACUGUAGAAAAUAGCAUGCCUUCUUAGCAUUUAGCUGAAAUUUUUGUUUCACGUUGUUCUAAAUAUUCAAAAAAUAUUGCAGCACAAAUUUUGUACCAGCAAAACAUCAGAAGUUAAAGGGAGCUCCUGAAGCAAUUCAGUAUGCAGAACUUGAUCAUUUAUAGUUAUUCUCGGACGAAGAUGAAUGACAAAGAGAGAAACACGAUAAGAAGAACCUUAACUUGCAUAAUUGAUAGGAGAGAAACACUGUGACGAGAAGAUGUUUAAUCUGUCGAUUAAUACACAAAUUAUCUGAUUGAAUGAAGAAUGGAUUAACAUCCUCAUCCAUCAGAAGAUUGGUAGUUACUCUUCCAAUUUGCAAGUCUGUAUAUAAUGUGUAUAAUAUUUUCCAAAUUUGUAUGUAGUAUAGUACCCGUAUAAUAUUUUGCAAGUUUGUAUAUAAUAUGUGUACCGUGUCUGUAUCUGCCUUUUUUUUAAUGAUCUCCCUACUUUAAUAUCAGCAAAAGGUUUAACUG